AUGAACGCUAGCUACAGGCUUAACACAUGCAAGUCGAGGGGCAUCAGGAAGAAAGCUUGCUUUCUUUGCUGGCGACCGGCGCACGGGUGAGUAACACGUAUCCAACCUGCCCUUUACUCGGGGAUAGCCUUUCGAAAGAAAGAUUAAUACCCGAUGGCAUAAUGAUUCCGCAUGGUUUCAUUAUUAAAGGAUUCCGGUAAAGGAUGGGGAUGCGUUCCAUUAGGUUGUUGGUGAGGUAACGGCUCACCAAGCCUUCGAUGGAUAGGGGUUCUGAGAGGAAGGUCCCCCACAUUGGAACUGAGACACGGUCCAAACUCCUACGGGAGGCAGCAGUGAGGAAUAUUGGUCAAUGGGCGCUAGCCUGAACCAGCCAAGUAGCGUGAAGGAUGAAGGCUCUAUGGGUCGUAAACUUCUUUUAUAUAAGAAUAAAGUGCAGUAUGUAUACUGUUUUGUAUGUAUUAUAUGAAUAAGGAUCGGCUAACUCCGUGCCAGCAGCCGCGGUAAUACGGAGGAUCCGAGCGUUAUCCGGAUUUAUUGGGUUUAAAGGGAGCGUAGGUGGACUGGUAAGUCAGUUGUGAAAGUUUGCGGCUCAACCGUAAAAUUGCAGUUGAUACUGUCAGUCUUGAGUACAGUAGAGGUGGGCGGAAUUCGUGGUGUAGCGGUGAAAUGCUUAGAUAUCACGAAGAACUCCGAUUGCGAAGGCAGCUCACUGGACUGCAACUGACACUGAUGCUCGAAAGUGUGGGUAUCAAACAGGAUUAGAUACCCUGGUAGUCCACACAGUAAACGAUGAAUACUCGCUGUUUGCGAUAUACAGUAAGCGGCCAAGCGAAAGCAUUAAGUAUUCCACCUGGGGAGUACGCCGGCAACGGUGAAACUCAAAGGAAUUGACGGGGGCCCGCACAAGCGGAGGAACAUGUGGUUUAAUUCGAUGAUACGCGAGGAACCUUACCCGGGCUUAAAUUGCAGUGGAAUGAUGUGGAAACAUGUCAGUGAGCAAUCACCGCUGUGAAGGUGCUGCAUGGUUGUCGUCAGCUCGUGCCGUGAGGUGUCGGCUUAAGUGCCAUAACGAGCGCAACCCUUAUCUUUAGUUACUAACAGGUUAUGCUGAGGACUCUAGAGAGACUGCCGUCGUAAGAUGUGAGGAAGGUGGGGAUGACGUCAAAUCAGCCCGGCCCUUACGUCCGGGGCUACACACGUGUUACAAUGGGGGGUACAGAAGGCAGCUAGCGGGUGACCGUAUGCUAAUCCCAAAAGCCUCUCUCAGUUCGGAUCGAAGUCUGCAACCCGACUUCGUGAAGCUGGAUUCGCUAGUAAUCGCGCAUCAGCCACGGCGCGGUGAAUACGUUCCCGGGCCUUGUACACACCGCCCGUCAAGCCAUGGGAGCCGGGGGUACCUGAAGUACGUAACCGCAAGGAUCGUCCUAGGGUAAAACUGGUGACUGGGGCU
rnacentral:rRNA from 1 species